GGUAGUCCACGCCGUAAACGAUGUCGACUUGGAGGUUGUGCCCUUGAGGCGUGGCUUCCGGAGCUAACGCGUUAAGUCGACCGCCUGGGGAGUACGGCCGCAAGGUUAAAACUCAAAUGAAUUGACGGGGGCCCGCACAAGCGGUGGAGCAUGCGGUUUAAUUCGAUGCAACGCGAAGAACCUUACCUACUCUUGACAUCCAGAGAACUUAGCAGAGAUGCUUUGGUGCCUUCGGGAACUCUGAGACAGGUGCUGCAUGGCUGUCGUCAGCUCGUGUUGUGAAAUGUUGGGUUAAGUCCCGCAACGAGCGCAACCCUUAUCCUUUGUUGCCAGCGGUUAGGCCGGGAACUCAAAGGAGACUGCCAGUGAUAAACUGGAGGAAGGUGGGGAUGACGUCAAGUCAUCAUGGCCCUUACGAGUAGGGCUACACACGUGCUACAAUGGCGCAUACAAAGAGAAGCGACCUCGCGAGAGCAAGCGGACCUCAUAAAGUGCGUCGUAGUCCGGAUUGGAGUCUGCAACUCGACUCCAUGAAGUCGGAAUCGCUAGUAAUCGUAGAUCAGAAUGCUACGGUGAAUACGUUCCCGGGCCUUGUACACACCGCCCGUCACACCAUGGGAGUGGGUUGCAAAAGAAGUAGGUAGCUUAACCUUCGGGAGGGCGCUUACCACUUUGUGAUUCAUGACUGGGGUGAAGUCGUAACAAGGUAACCGUAGGGGAACCCUGC
rnacentral:rRNA from 1 species